CAAAAAUUAAUGACAUGAACCAUUACAACCACUAAAUUGCAGGUUCUAUACAAAAGACAGGCGCAUACAUAAUGUGGCGGGUUUAAACAUGUUUGUGAGCGCUCAACCUUCUAACAUAUGAACAAACUAUAGAAGCCAGUUGAAAAUGGCUUAUCUCAUCAGAUCGAUACAAACAGAAAAAAAACUAACUAAAACAUAGACCGGACGUGACAGAGUAUUUAUAAUACAUCUCUUACAACAAAAUAUAAAAAGUAG
rnacentral:lncRNA from 1 species